AUAUACGUGAGAAAUGUUUUUUUAAGGACCAAGAAAUUCACGCAACCAAAUUUUUUUUUUUUUUUUUUGUAGGACGACCGCGCGCCAUUCUUUUUGGAGGGAGAAUUUAUUGCGUUACGGCGUGUGUCGGCGGGAGCGCACGGACUAAAAUCUCCCUGGAUGUGCCGAUCACCGCAGCUGCCUUUUUAACAGCCCUACAGUCACGACCUUGUGAGAGUCAUCGAGCGGCACGGCAAGGCAAGGCACAGACGAAAAUGUUGGUCAACUGUUUCGUAGGUAAGAAGAGAUAUCACACAAUGGAUUUUCAAAUCUGACUGGCUAUUUGGCUGGUAACACGACGCGACCAGCAACUCAGGAAAUGUAUGCUACACACACGGUGGAAUACUGCUGCUGCAUAUCCAGCACUACUACGCUAUAUAUAAUGAGUUUCAACAGGCGUUGAUCGUCUAUUCCACAUCGAUAUUGAAUUACACAUUCGACUGCUGCUGCUUGCCGUCGUGCAGGUCAUCAUCAUCAUCAUCGCAUCAGCGCGCCUUACACGUACUAUACACACCCGGAUUGCGGCAUUCCUUAUCCAUUUUUCUUUUUUUUUUUUUGUCGAUGAAUUUUCGAUUCCGGCUGGCAGUUUUUCUACUUUAUUUUUUCUUCCAAAUUUUAUCCAGUAAUAAUUAUCGCAUUCUUCCACUAGGUCUACCAACUGUUCAAGCCUCGUAGAACCCUAUAUAUAAAUGGUAUGCGGUUGCCUUGUUUGCUCAACAACUAUUUUGUGUCUCUAUAGAUAAAAACACAUAACGAAACGAAUUCUCUCA